AACGAACGCUGGCGGCGCGUCUUAACCAUGCAAGUCGAGCGGCAGGCAGCAAUGCCGAGAGCGGCGGACUGGUGAGUAACACGUGGAUAACGUACCCCGAUGUCCGGGACAGCCUGUAGAAAUAGAGGGUAAUACCGGAUAGAUCACUGUUUACGUGAGGUAGACAGCGGGAAAGGAGCUUCGGCUCCGCGACGGGAUCGGUCUUCGGCCCAUCAGCUGGACGGCGGGGUAAAGGCCCGCCGUGGCGAGGACGGGUAUCCGGCCUGAGAGGGCGGACGGACACAUUGGGACUGAGAUACGGCCCAGACUCCUACGGGAGGCAGCAGGUAAGAAUAUUCCGCAAUGGGGGGAACCCUGACGGAGCGACGCCGCGUGAACGAAGAAGGCCGGAAGGUUGUAAAGUUCUUUUCUGUCCGAGGAAUAAGUUUCGGAGGAAAUGCCGGGACGGUGACGGUAGGGCAGGAAUAAGCACCGGCUAAUUACGUG
rnacentral:rRNA from 1 species